rnacentral:tRNA from 1 species
UGGGGUGUUGCUCAGUGGUAGAGCACUUGUCUAGCAUGUGCAAGGCACUGGGUUCAAUUCUCAGCACCACAU